AAACAAAAGAAAUACAUAAGUAUCAUCCAUUGAUAAAUUAAUAUAAAGAAAAGACAUCAAGUAAAAAUUGCCCACACAUUAUGAUCUCAAAUAGCUUAUGCCAUAGUCAGAAUAGCUCUUCCAAUAGAACCUAACAAUGCUAAUUCUCUAUGACAAAAUAAGCAUAGACGUUGGGAGCAAUAGUAUACUAAACCAUUAGAUGGCAAAGGAAAGAAAAGAGACUAGAAAUGGUUAAAUAAAUAAAAAUAAAUAAGAACAUUUAUGACUCAACUAUCAUAUGCUGGGCACUAGCAUAAACCAACAUAAAUAAGCAAAUACAUCUAGAGAGAAUUAGCACUAUCGAGUAGUAAUACCAAACCAAAUGAAGGAAUUAAACGACAUGCUAUUUUCANNNN
rnacentral:lncRNA from 1 species